AUUGAACGCUGGCGGCAGGCCUAACACAUGCAAGUCUAACGGUAACAGGAAGAAGCUUGCUUCUUUGCUGACGAGUGGCGGACGGGUGAGUAAUGUCUGGGAAACUGCCUGAUGGAGGGGGAUAACUACUGGAAACGGUAGCUAAUACCGCAUAAUGUCGCAAGACCAAAGAGGGGGACCUUCGGGCCUCUUGCCAUCGGAUGUGCCCAGAUGGGAUUAGCUAGUAGGUGGGGUAACGGCUCACCUAGGCGACGAUCCCUAGCUGGUCUGAGAGGAUGACCACCCACAGGGAAACGGAGACACGGCCCAGACUCCGAGGGGAGGAAGCGGGGGGAAAUAUUGCAGAAGGGGGGCAGGCUUGAUGAGGCUAGGCGGGGGGUAUGAAGAAGGCUUGGGGGUUGUAAAGUAUUUUCGGGGGGGAGGAAGGGGGAAAAGUUAAUACCUUUGCUCAUUGACGUUACCCGAAAAAGAAGCACCGGCUAACCCCGUG
rnacentral:rRNA from 1 species